rnacentral:rRNA from 1 species
CAGUCUCCGCGGUAAUACAGAGGGUGCGAGCGUUAAUCGGAUUUACUGGGCGUAAAGCGUGCGUAGGCGGCUUCUUAAGUCGGAUGUGAAAUCCCUGAGCUUAACUUAGGAAUUGCAUUCGAUACUGGGAAGCUAGAGUAUGGGAGAGGAUGGUAGAAUUCCAGGUGUAGCGGUAAAAUGCGUAGAGAUCUGGAGGAAUACCGAUGGCGAAGGCAGCCAUCUGGCCUAAUACUGACGCUGAGGUACGAAAGCAUGGGGAGCAAACAGGAUUAGAUACCCCCGUAGUCCCUGUCUCUUAUAC